AAGUCGUAACAAGGUUUCCGUAGGUGAACCUGCGGAAGGAUCAUUAUCACGUUAUCCACGUAUAAACCAUCCGUGAACUGUCACACCCUGAGUUAAUCUAUAGUUCGUGUAAUAGCUAGCAUAUGGACUCCUUUCUUGUGAUUUAGAGAGUUCGCUAUCUGUUGCCUCGGAAUAUUUAUUUAUUUCGUACUUGGAUUUUCUUAGGUGUAUUUUCUAAAUCACACUUUGUAUUAACAACUUGAACAAUUUAUUUAAUUUAAAGAACUGAUCUGUUUCUUACUCUUGGUAAAACAGGAGAAGAAAUAAAUUACGAAACAAAGAACAACUCUUAGCAACGGAUAUCUUGGUUCUC
rnacentral:misc_RNA from 1 species